AUUGAACGCUGGCGGCAGGCCUAACACAUGCAAGUCGAGCGGCAGCGACUUAACUGAACCUUCGGGGAACGUUAAGGGCGGCGAGCGGCGGACGGGUGAGUAAUGCCUGGGAAUAUGCCUCAGUGUGGGGGAUAACUAUUGGAAACGAUAGCUAAUACCGCAUAAUCUCCGAUCUUUUACGAGAUGGGAGCAAAGCGGGGGACCUUCGGGCCUCGCGCGCUGAGAUUAGCCCAGGUGGGAUUAGCUUGUUGGUGAGGUAAUGGCUCACCAAGGCAACGAUCCCUAGCUGGUCUGAGAGGAUGAUCAGCCACACUGGAACUGAGACACGGUCCAGACUCCUACGGGAGGCAGCAGUGGGGAAUAUUGCACAAUGGGGGAAACCCUGAUGCAGCCAUGCCGCGUGUGUGAAGAAGGCCUUCGGGUUGUAAAGCACUUUCAGUAGGGAGGAAGGUAGUGUAGUUAACACCUGCAUUAUUUGACGUUACCUACAGAAGAAGCACCGGCUAACUCCGUGCCAGCAGCCGCGGUAAUACGGAGGGUGCGAGCGUUAAUCGGAAUUACUGGGCGUAAAGCGCAUGCAGGCGGCCUGUUAAGUCAGAUGUGAAAGCCCGGGGCUUAACCUCGGAAUUGCAUUUGAAACUGGCAGGCUAGAGUCUUGUAGAGGGGGGUAGAAUUUCAGGUGUAGCGGUGAAAUGCGUAGAGAUCUGAAGGAAUACCAGUGGCGAAGGCGGCCCCCCUGGACAAAGACUGACGCUCAGAUGCGAAAGCGUGGGGAGCAAACAGG
rnacentral:rRNA from 1 species